GACAAGUGUGAGCCAUCUGGGAGGU
rnacentral:piRNA from 1 species